rnacentral:rRNA from 1 species
CGAAAGCCUGACGGAGCAACGCCGCGUGAGGGAUGAAGGCCUCUGGGCUGUAAACCUCUUUUAUUAAGGAAGAAGAUCUGACGGUACUUGAUGAAUAAGCCACGGCUAAUUCCGUGCCAGCAGCCGCGGUAAUACGGGAGUGGCAAGCGUUAACCGGAAUUAUUAGGCGUAAAGCGUCCGCAGGCGGCCUGAUAAGUCUGUUGUCAAAGCGUGGAGCUUAACUCCAUUUCGGCAAUGGAAACUGUGAGGCUUGAGUGUGGUAGGGGCAGAGGGAAUUCCCGGUGUAGCGGUGAAAUGCGUAGAUAUCGGGAAGAACACCAGUGGCGAAGGCGCUCUGCUGGGCCAUAACUGACGCUCAUGGACGAAAGCCAGGGGAGCG